rnacentral:rRNA from 1 species
UACGGGGGGAGCAAGCGUUGUUCGGAUUUACUGGGCGUAAAGGGCGCGUAGGCGGCCAGCACAAGUCAGUUGUGAAAUCUCCGGGCUUAACUCGGAAAGGUCAACUGAUACUGUGCGGCUAGAGUGCAGAAGGGGCAACUGGAAUUCUCGGUGUAGCGGUGAAAUGCGUAGAUAUCGAGAGGAACACCAGUGGCGAAGGCGAGUCCCUGGACAACACCUGACACUGAGGCACGAAAGCUAGGGGAGCAAACAGG